rnacentral:rRNA from 1 species
GAGUUUGAUCAUGGCUCAGGAUGAACGCUAGCGGGAGGCUUAACACAUGCAAGUCGAGGGGCAGCACGAUGUAGCAAUACGUUGGUGGCGACCGGCGCACGGGUGAGUAACGCGUAUGUAACCUACCUUGUACAGGGGGAUAGCCCGGAGAAAUUCGGAUUAAUACCCCAUAAUGAUAUCUGGAGGCAUCUUUAGAUAUUUAAAGUUUCGACGGUACGAGAUGGGCAUGCGUGACAUUAGCUAGUUGGUAAGGUAACGGCUUACCAAGGCUACGAUGUCUAGGGGUCCUGAGAGGGUGAUCCCCCACACUGGUACUGAGACACGGACCAGACUCCUAUGGGAGGCAGCAGUGAGGAAUAUUGGUCAAUGGGCGUAAGCCUGAACCAGCCAUCCCGCGUGAAGGAAGAAGGCGCUAUGCGUCGUAAACUUCUCUUCCGGAGGAAUAAAAUUUUGUACGCGUACAGAACUGAAGGUACUCCGGGAAUAAGCAUCGGCUAACUCCGUGCCAGCAGCCGCGGUAAUACGGAGGAUGCGAGCGUUAUCCGGAUUUAUUGGGUUUAAAGGGUGCGUAGGCGGAUUAAUAAGUCAGUGGUGAAAACCUUCAGCUUAACUGGAGAACUGCCAUUGAUACUGUUAGUCUUGAGUACGGUCAAGGUAGGCGGAAUGUGUAAUGUAGCGGUGAAAUGCUU